rnacentral:rRNA from 1 species
UACGUAGGGUGCGAGCGUUGUCCGGAAUUACUGGGCGUAAAGAGCUCGUAGGUGGUUUGUCGCGUUGUUCGUGAAAUCUCACGGCUUAACUGUGAGCGUGCGGGCGAUACGGGCAGACUAGAGUACUGCAGGGGAGACUGGAAUUCCUGGUGUAGCGGUGGAAUGCGCAGAUAUCAGGAGGAACACCAGUGGCGAAGGCGGGUCUCUGGGCAGUAAUUGACGCUGAGGAGCGAAAGCGUGGGGAGCGAACAGG